UACGGGGGGGGCAAGCGUUGUUCGGAAUUACUGGGCGUAAAGGGCUCGUAGGUGGCCAACUAAGUCAGACGUGAAAUCCCUCGGCUUAACCGGGGAACUGCGUCUGAUACUGGAUGGCUUGAGUUCGGGAGAGGGAUGCGGAAUUCCAGGUGUAGCGGUAGAAAUGCGUAGAUAUCUGGAGGAACACCGGUGGCGAAGGCGGCAUCCUGGACCGACACUGACGCUGAGGCGCGAAAGCUAGGGGAGCAAACGGG
rnacentral:rRNA from 1 species